rnacentral:rRNA from 1 species
ACCGGCGCACGGGUGAGUAACACGUAUCCAACCUGCCGUCUACUCUUGGACAGCCUUCUGAAAGGAAGAUUAAUACAAGAUGGCAUCAUGAGUCCGCAUGUUCACAUGAUUAAAGGUAUUCCGGUAGACGAUGGGGAUGCGUUCCAUUAGAUAGUAGGCGGGGUAACGGCCCACCAAGACUACGAUGGAUAGGGGUUCUGAGAGGAAGGUCCCCCACAUUGGAACUGAGACACGGUCCAAACUCCUACGGGAGGCAGCAUG